GAAGAUACGCGAAAAACCUUACCAGGUCUUGACAUACCAAUGAUCGCUUUUGUAAUGAAAGCUUUUCUUCGGAACAUUGGAUACAGGUGGUGCAUGGUCGUCGUCAGCUCGUGUCGUGAGAUGUUGGGUUAAGUCCCGCAACGAGCGCAACCCUUGUUAUUAGUUGCCAGCAUUUAGUUGGGCACUCUAAUGAGACUGCCGGUGAUAAACCGGAGGAAGGUGGGGACGACGUCAGAUCAUCAUGCCCCUUAUGACCUGGGCAACACACGUGCUACAAUGGGAAGUACAACGAGUCGCAAACCGGCGACGGCAAGCUAAUCUCUUAAAACUUCUCUCAGUUCGGACUGGAGUCUGCAACUCGACUCCACGAAGGCGGAAUCGCUAGUAAUCGCGAAUCAGCAUGUCGCGGUGAAUACGUUCCCGGGUCUUGUACACACCGCCCGUCAAAUCAUGGGAGUCGGAAGUACCCAAAGUCGCUUGGCUAACUUUUAGAGGCCGGUGCCUAAGGUAAAAUCGAUGACUGGGAUUAAGUCGUAACAAGGUAGCCGUAGGAGAACCUGCGGCUGGAUCACCUCCUUUCUAAGGA
rnacentral:rRNA from 1 species